UACGUAGGUGGCAAGCGUUGUCCGGAAUUAUUGGGCGUAAGGCGCGCGCAGGCGGUUUCUUAAGUCUGAUGUGAAAGCCCACGGCUUAACCGUGGAAGGUCAUUGGAAACUGGGAGACUUGAGUGCAGAAGAGAAGAGCGGAAUUCCACGUGUAGCGGUGAAAUGCGUAGAGAUGUGGAGGAACACCAGUGGCGAAGGCGGCUCUUUGGUCUGUAACUGACGCUGAGGCGCGAAAGCGUGGGGAUCAAACAGG
rnacentral:rRNA from 1 species